AAGAAACGUGAUUUUAGGAGGUCUUUGAAGAUGGGUAGAGUAGUAGUCGGUUGAACGUGAAGAGGAAGAGAAUUCCAGCAUCAAGAGAGGGCGUGAACAAAGUGGUGGCGGCGGGAGGGAUGCAAACAAGGCUUGAGAGGAACGAAGAGUACAAGCUGGGGCGGAGUGGUCGAAGAGAGCGGAUAGGACUGACAGUGCCUUGAAGCCGACGGUCGGGAGUUUCUGCUUGAUGCAGAGAGGGAUGGUCAGUCGUGGAAGGAUUUUGAGGGGUAUUUGGCAGAAGUCAUCGCAGCAGGAAGGACAUCACAAAGAACCGAAGAGCAGCGUUUUGUUUCUACAUAAAUUUACGUGUGGUGCUAGAAAAUCAAAGGAACAGUAGACAGAGGAGGGCCGGUUCUGGAAUCAGGUCCGUUUGUCUCUCUGAUUUAUAUAAUGUUCUGAACUCGCAUCGAUUCUAUACUCUCUGCUGGGGUAGACUUGGUUGCCCUCUCUAUACUGGAGUCAUUUAAGCAAAAAGAUAUAAUGACUGGACAGGAAUUUCACAAGGUUGUUAAUCCCGUCCCUCUUUUAGAAAGCUAACUCAUUGUUCAGACACAAAGCCACAGCAGACUCACCAGUGUAAUAAUAAUAAUAGUGAUAGUUCAU